AACCCAUGUCCGAUGCUGACUGGAUCCGGGAAGAGAACACAACCCAGCUGACAUCUUUUCACGACAGAGGCAGCAAGAAGGGUACUGCAGUCAAAUCACAAGGCUAAGGAUGGCAAUCAACCAGCGUGGGGAGCAGCGUGUCAGAAGACGACAACCUAGGUGUUUAUUUCAAGCUCUUCAUCUUCCUGUGCCAGAAUAUGGAAUGUAACCAGCUCCAUCUUUAUGAUAUACUGAGGCUGAUGGCGAAGCUGGUUUUGUGGAACAGGAUAUGUUUAUGCCUGGGUAAUAAAUGCAGGGUGAAUAUGGCAUAAGCACCCUUGUCCUCAACUGGAUGGACAAGUGGGGGGAAGAGGAUGAGGAGGAAAAUCAUCCAUAAAAAAAAAAGAUGAGAGGAGGGGUUGGGUAUGGAAAAGAGGGGAAGGGAAUUUUCUUUUGGAUGAAGAGUAUUAAUACUAGUCAUUUUCCCUUCCUCUCUUACUCCAUUCCUCCAUUAGGCCUUCCACACCCACACAGGAACAAAACAGGGACAAUUGAAGCAUAUUCUUCUCAAGCAGCACAACACUUCUGUGGCAAGAGCUGAAGGAAAUGCAUUGUUUUGAUUGGAAUAUUUUUUCAUUAACAGGAUGUUCAAAAUAAACAAAAUGACUUGAUUCACAGUGCCUGCGGCUGCAUCAGGUUAACACUGGCAUGCUUCCACACUUGAGCGCAUCUUCACUAAUCAAUCAGAAACACACUUGCUGGCAAGAAAGGUCACAUCUUUAAUCACACAACAGCAACUUUUUGACAACAAACAGGGUAUCUGCAUACAGCCAGAUUUGGCUCUCUGUUACAUAGGUUUAAUACGCCACAUACUGAAGAUGAUGGGUGCCAGAUAGAGAGAGAGAGAUAAAGCUGCGGUUUCUCCUGUAAUUAUGCCUGUGAAUACCAUGUACUGUAAGCUAGAUCAGUUAAAUUAGAGAUCAUGAUUUUAUGCCCUCCGUAAACACUUGUAUCUUGGAUGAAAUUCAAGUUAAUUGAAUCAGAGGAGAAUGAGAUAAAAUGUAAUGUAUAGGUGGGCACAGGCCUGAUCUCUUUGGUUUGGGACGAAAGUAUUACUGUCCAUAUUGAAGCAACACCCCAGGGAGCAUGAUGCUAUUGGAGGUGUCAUCUUUCAGAGGAUAUAUAUAAAAAAAGUCCUCGACUUCUUUGGUCACUGAGGAGUCUAUGACAAAGACUGUUAGCCCCAGUCUCCUGACUAAAUUACAUCUCAGGAAAUUAGAGUUACUAUUUUCAUUAAUAGAUUCCAAGGCCAGAAGGGACCACUGUGAUAAUCUAGUCAGACUCCUCUAUAAUGAAGGCCACAGAACUU